rnacentral:rRNA from 1 species
GCGAGUGAAGCGGCAAAAGCUCAAAUUUGAAAUCUGGUACCUUUGGUGCCCGAGUUGUAAUUUGUAGAAGGUAACUUUGGGGCUGGUCCUUGUCUAUGUUCCUUGGAACAGGACGUCAUAGAGGGUGAGAAUCCCGUGUGGCGAGGAUCCCAGUUCUUUGUAAAGUGCUUUCGAAGAGUCGAGUUGUUUGGGAAUGCAGCUCUAAGUGGGUGGUAAAUUCCAUCUAAAGCUAAAUAUUGGCGAGAGACCGAUAGCGAACAAGUACAGUGAUGGAAAGAUGAAAAGAACUUUGAAAAGAGAGUGAAAAAGUACGUGAAAUUGUUGAAAGGGAAGGGCAUUUGAUCAGACAUGGUGUUUUGCGCCCUCUGCUCCUUGUGGGUGGGGGAAUCUCGCAGCUCACUGGGCCAGCAUCAGUUUUGGCGGCAGGAUAAAUCUGCAGGAACGUGGCUUGCCUCGGUAAGUGUUAUAGCCUGUAGGAAUACUGCCAGCUGGGACUGAGGACUGCGACUUUACGUCAAGGAUGCUGGCAUAAUGGUUAUAUGCCGCCC